rnacentral:tRNA from 1 species
CAAGGAAUAGUUUAAUGAGAAUGUCAGCUUUGGGUGUUGACGGUGGAGUGAAGUUCUUCUUCCUUGA